rnacentral:rRNA from 2 species
AAAUAACAAUGAUUUCCCUAGUAACGGCGAGUGAAGAGGAAAGAGCUCAAAGUUGGAAACUGUUUGGCUUAGCUAAACCGUAUUGUAAACUGUAGAAACAUUUUCCUGGCACGCCGGAUUAAUAAGUCCUUUGGAACAAGGCAUCAUGGAGGGUGAGAAUCCCGUCUUUGAUCCGAGUAGUUGUCUUUUGUGAUAUGUUUUCAAAGAGUCAGGUUGUUUGGGAAUGCAGCCUAAAUUGGGUGGUAAAUCUCACCUAAAGCUAAAUAUUUGCGAGAGACCGAUAGCGAACAAGUACCGUGAGGGAAAGAUGAAAAGAACUUUGAAAAGAGAGUUAAACAGUAUGUGAAAUUGUUAAAAGGGAACCGUUUGGAGCCAGACUGGUUUGACUGUAAUCAACCUAGAAUUCGUUCUGGGUGCACUUGCAGUCUAUACCUGCCAACAACAGUUUGAUUUGGAGGAAAAAAUUAGUAGGAAUGUAGCCUCUCGAGGUGUUAUAGCCUACUAUCAUACUCUGGAUUGGACUGAGGAACGCAGCGAAUGCCUUUAGGCAAGAUUGCUGGGUGCUUUCGCUAAUAAAUGUUAGAAUUUCUGCUUCGGGUGGUGCUAAUGUUUAAAGGAGGAACACA